GCUUACGGCCAUACCACCCUGAACACGCCCGAUCUCGGAAGCUAAGCAGGGUCGGGCCUGGUUAGUACUUGGAUGGGAGACCGCCUGGGAAUACCAGGUGCUGUAAGCU
ensembl:rRNA 5S_rRNA 5S ribosomal RNA